CUCGUAGGCGGUUUGUCACGUCUGCUGUGAAAUUUCGAGGCUCAACCUCGAACUUGCAGUGGGUACGGGCAGGCUAGAGUGCGGUAGGGGAGAUGGGAAUUCCUGGUGUAGCGGUGGAAUGCGCAGACAUCAGGAGGAACACCAAUGGCGAAGGCACAUCUCUGGGCCGUAACUGACGCUGAGGAGCGAAAGCGUGGGGAGCGAACA
rnacentral:rRNA from 1 species